UACAGGGGGGGCAAGCGUUGUUCGGAAUUACUGGGCGUAAAGGGCUCGUAGGCGGCCAACUAAGUCCGACGUGAAAUCCCAAAGCUUAACUUUGGAACUGCGUCGGAUACUGGAUGGCUUGAAUACGGGAGAGGUGCGUGGAAUUCCUGGUGUAGAGGUGAAAUUCGUAGAUAUCAGGAGGAACACCGGUGGCGAAAGCGGCGCACUGGCCCGAUAUUGACGCUCAUGUACGAAAGCGUGGGGAGCAAACAGG
rnacentral:rRNA from 1 species